CAAAGCGAGACUCUGUCUCUAAACAAAACAAAAAACAAAAAAAAUCACAUGAAAUGCCAGUUACUGAAAUGUUGCAAUCAAAGGUCAAAACCACCAAUAUUUGCCAUUAUUGUCAGUCUGUAAUGAAGGACAUAGAGCUGACCUCUGUAAGUGAAGACCCACCCUCUCUCCCAAGGGUCCCUAAUGACUCGUUAAGGAGAUUUAACCUUUCUCCUUGCAGUUGUUCUACUUCAAAUCCAAUAAAAACCCAAACUGGAACAGGUGUGUUGGGGUGAUGCAGGCAACUUGAAGUGAAUGCUCUGCUGGAAAAGGAGGAAAACAAAUCACUAUGUACCAGCCUGUCCGAGUUUAUGAGAGGGUCCGGCUGCUGGGACGGCAGGAAGAUCUGCGAUGCUUGUCUCUGUUUGAGUGUCUGCUGCUUUCCUGCCUGGGGUUAUUGGUCGUGGCCCUGGGAAUAGCAGUCCUUCUACAUAACCCCUCUGACACCAUGGCUUUCUCUACUGGCUUAAUGACAAUAGGCAUAGGCGUUGCUUUUGUCACCUUUACUGGAGCCAUAGCCAUGCGUAGAGUCAACCAGAAUAUGCACUUUGUCAUGAGGCAAAGAUCUGGGGCCAGAAGGAGGACGGAAAAUGCCCCAAGCACUGCAGAGCCUUUACUGGAUGAGUCACCCAUAGCCAACACUUGGCUGUAACCCUAUGUCUUUGAGCCUCUGGAACUUUUAGGUCUCCUAACCAUUGCUUUUAAAUUCAAAUAAAAUUUGGCUUUUUAUUUUUUCAA